rnacentral:rRNA from 1 species
GAGUUUGAUCAUGGCUCAGGAUGAACGCUAGCGGCAAGCCUAACACAUGCAAGUCGAACGGUAACUUUUGGUGCUUGCACCGAAAGACGAGUGGCGAACGGGUGCGUAACGCGUAUGCAAUCUGCCUUUUACUAGGGUAUAGCCCAGAGAAAUUUGGAUUAAUCCCCUAUAAUAUCAUUUAAUCGCAUGAUUUUAUGAUUAAAGCUUCGGCGGUAAAAGAUGAGCAUGCGUCCUAUUAGUUAGUAGGUGAGGUAACGGCUCACCUAGACUCCGAUAGGUAGGGGUCCUGAGAGGGAGAUCCCCCACACUGGUACUGAGACACGGACCAGACUCCUACGGGAGGCAGCAGUGAGGAAUAUUGGACAAUGGACGAAAGUCUGAUCCAGCUAUGCCGCGUGCAGGAUGACGGCCCUAUGGGUUGUAAACUGCUUUUAUACAGGAAGAAAAACUCCGACGUGUCGGAACUUGACGGUACUGUAAGAAUAAGGAUCGGCUAACUCCGUGCCAGCAGCCGCGGUAAUACGGAGGAUCCAAGCGUUAUCCGGAAUCAUUGGGUUUAAAGGGUCCGUAGGCGGUUUUUUAAGUCAGAGGUGAAAUCCUGCAGCUCAACUGUAGAAUUGCCUUUGAUACUGAAAGACUUGAGUUAUUGUGAAGUGGUUAGAAUGUGUGGUGUAGCGGUGAAAUGCAUAGAUAUCACACAGAAUACCAAUUGCGAAGGCAGAUCACUAACAAUAUACUGACGCUCAGGGACGAAAGCGUGGGUAGCGAACAGGAUUAGAUACCCUGGUAGUCCACGCCGU